rnacentral:rRNA from 1 species
UACAGAGGUCUCAAGCGUUGUUCGGAUUCAUUGGGCGUAAAGGGUGCGUAGGCGGCGCGGUAAGUCGGGUGUGAAUCUCGGAGCUUAACUCCGAACUGCAUUCGAUACUGCCGUGCUUGAGGACUGGAGAGGAGACUGGAAUUUACGGUGUAGCGGUGAAAUGCGUAGAUAUCGUAAGGAAGACCAGUGGCGAAGGCGGGUCUCUGGACAGUUCCUGACGCUGAGGCACGAAGGCCAGGGAGCAAACGGG